UACGUAGGUGGCAAGCGUUGUCCGGAAUUAUUGGGCGUAAAGCGCGCGCAGGUGGUUUCUUAAGUCUGAUGUGAAAGCCCACGGCUCAACCGUUGAGGGUCAUUGGAAACUGGGGAACUUGAGUGCAGAAGAGGAAAGUGGAAUUCCAAGUGUAGCGGUGAAAUGCGUAGAGAUUUGGAGGAACACCAGUGGCGAAGGCGACUUUCUGGUCUGUAACUGACACUGAGGCGCGAAAGCGUGGGGAGCGAACAGG
rnacentral:rRNA from 1 species